rnacentral:tRNA from 1 species
GUGUUGUUAUGAGUUGUUGCGAGUUAUGCGAAGUAACUGACUCUUAAUCAGUAGGUCCUCGGUUCGAUCCCGAGACGGCCCACCA